AGGGAUGACAUAGUGGACAGAAGAGGAAAAAAGAAGAAGUUGAGUUUGAAUUUCACAUGUUUACUCUGCCAGAAAAAAUGGAAAUGACGCAGGCAUGGAGAAGAGAUUUGGAGGAAGGCACAGUGAGGAGGUAGACUAUGGUAUCGUGGAAAGAUACUUUGAAAUUUUGACAGCACACUGGCAAAAACUUCCUACCCUUCACAUCAGGGACUGUGUUCUUUGCAGGGCUAUGCAGAUUCUGAAACACAAUGCUAUAAUGACAGGCCUGGAUUCUGUGUGUGUUCUCAAGCCUUGAGACAUCAAGGAAUGGCAGUGACCGAGGACACCCUGCUUCCUCCAACCACCCCAGUCACAGAGAUUUGUUCAGGGAUAAACACAUGGUCCAAACUGGGCUAGAGUUCGCCCAGGAAGAGAGUUUCUUUCUGUUACAGUCAUUAGA